rnacentral:rRNA from 1 species
AGCGAACGCUGGCGGCAGGCCUAACACAUGCAAGUCGAACGAACCUUUCGGGGUUAGUGGCGGACGGGUGAGUAACACGUGGGAACGUGCCUUUAGGUUCGGAAUAACUCAGGGAAACUUGUGCUAAUACCGAAUGUGCCCUUCGGGGGAAAGAUUUAUCGCCUUUAGAGCGGCCCGCGUCUGAUUAGCUAGUUGGUUGAGGUAAUGGCUCACCAAGGCGACGAUCAGUAGCUGGUCUGAGAGGAUGAUCAGCCACAUUGGGACUGAGACACGGCCCAAAAUCCUACGGGAGGCAGGAGUGGGGAAUCUUGCGCAAUGGGGGAAAGCCUGACGCAGCCAUGCCGGGUGAAUGAUGAAGGUCUUAGGAUUGUAAAAUUCUUUCACCGGGGACGAUAAUGACGGUACCCGGAGAAGAAGCCCCGGCUAACUUCGUG